rnacentral:rRNA from 1 species
UGGGCGUAAAGAGCUCGUAGGCGGUUUGUCGCGUCUGCUGUGAAAGCCCGGGGCUUAACCCCGGGUGUGCAGUGGGUACGGGCAGACUUGAGUGCAGUAGGGGAGACUGGAACUCCUGGUGUAGCGGUGAAAUGCGCAGAUAUCAGGAAGAACACCGAUGGCGAAGGCAGGUCUCUGGGCUGUUACUGACGCUGAGGAGCGAAAGCAUGGGGAGCGAACAGGAUUAGAUACCCUGGUAGUCCAUGCCGUAAACGUUGGGCACUAGGUGUGGGGGACAUUCCACGUUUUCCGCGCCGUAGCUAACGCAUUAAGUGCCCCGCCUGGGGAGUACGGCCGCAAGGCUAAAACUCAAAGGAAUUGACGGGGGCCCGCACAAGCGGCGGAGCAUGCGGAUUAAUUCGAUGCAACGCGAAGAACCUUACCAAGGCUUGACAUACACCGGAUCGGCUCAGAGAUGGGUUUUCCUCCUUGUGGGGCUGGUGUACAGGUGGUGCAUGGUUGUCGUCAGCUCGUGUCGUGAGAUGUUGGGUUAAGUCCCGCAACGAGCGCAACCCUCGUUCUAUGUUGCCAGCACGUGAUGGUGGGGACUCAUAGGAGACUGCCGGGGUCAACUCGGAGGAAGGUGGGGAUGACGUCAAAUCAUCAUGCCCCUUAUGUCUUGGGCUUCACGCAUGCUACAAUGGCCAGUACAAUGGGUUGCGAUACCGUGAGGUGGAGCUAAUCCCAAAAAGCUGGUCUCAGUUCGGAUCGUGGUCUGCAACUCGACCACGUGAAGUCGGAGUCGCUAGUAAUCGCAGAUCAGCAACGCUGCGGUGAAUACGUUCCCGGGCCUUGUACACACCGCCCGUCAAGUCACGAAAGUUGGUAACACCCGAAGCCGGUGGCCUAACCCUUGUGGGGGGAGCCGUCG